rnacentral:lncRNA from 1 species
UGCAUGAGUGUGUGCUCUGUGUCACUGUGGAUUGGAGUUGAAAAAGCUUGACUGGCGUCAUUCAGGAGCUGGAUGGCGUGGGACAUGUGCAACCAGGACUCUGAGUCUGUAUGGAGUGACAUCGAGUGUGCUGCUCUGGUUGGUGAAGACCAGCCUCUUUGCCCAGAUCUUCCUGAACUUGAUCUUUCUGAACUAGAUGUGAACGACUUGGAUACAGACAGCUUUCUGGGUGGACUCAAGUGGUGCAGUGACCAAUCAGAAAUAAUAUCCAAUCAGUACAACAAUGAGCCUUCAAACAUAUUUGAGGUAAAGAAAGGCGAGCUGUACCAUAGCAAAUGAAAGUUUUCUUAAAGCUUUCUCCUCAGUGACUUUGCAGUGUGUAAUUUAAAAGCAGAAAGCAAAGAAAAUGCAGUUUUAAAACACUAGGCUGGCU